GGCGAGGAGAGGCGGGCCCUGCCCCGCGGGGUCCUGUGCCGCUGCCGCUCCUGGGAGAUGUAGUUUGUGGCGCCUCCCGCCCAGAGCCAUGGCCGCCCCGUGAGUGUUUGGAGCACAUGAGGAGCUGCCAGAGGAAUCACUAAUAUUUUCAUUUCUCCUUCUUCAGAUGCUCCUGCCCAGGUCUGUGCCUGUAGAAGUGUGACGCUCCUCGGUGCUGGGUGCUGCCUGCGGUGGGACAGUGUAAUCACGCAGCCAAGAUGGUGGCAUUUAACUGGAAGGCUUUGGAGAAUUUCCCAUUGCUGAUGUACAUUUUGGCAGCUAAAACAUUGAUUCUUUGCUUAGCAUUUGCUGGAGUAAAAAUGUACCAGAGCAAAAAAAUUGAAGAAAAACUGAAGAGGGAACGUGAAAAGAAGUUGAAAACAGAAGUAGAAAAGAAGGAUGAUUGAAGAGUCUCUCAGUUCAAGCAAUCACUGUCUUACUGGAUCAAAGCCAUUAGCAAAAUUUCCUGACACUUGGCAGCUUGCAUUGGAUUCCUUUCCUGGGAGAACGAAGCCUUCCUGUAGAUGAAGGAUGUGUCAAAGGAAUAAAAUUCAAGAGUCUCAUUCGCUUAAACUGUAUCUCAACUUUUUAUACAUACAGCAGAAUGUCUAAGCUUCUAUUUAUGCAAUAAAAAACCCUUUGUAAAAAAAGAGAAA